GCUUGCUCCACACUUCUGCCAAGAAGAGUAGAAACUGACAUGGAGCAGGGGAAGGGUCUGACUCGCUUCAUCCUGGCUACCAUUCUUCUUCAAGGUGCUGUGGCCCAGUCAAAGAAAGAAAACCAUCUGAUAAAAGUGAAUGACAAUCGAGAAGAUGGUUCAGUACUUCUGACUUGUGACUUGACCGA
rnacentral:lncRNA from 1 species